rnacentral:rRNA from 1 species
GGAAUUUUGGGCAAUGGGCGAAAGCCUGACCCAGUAACGCCGCGUGAAGGAUGAAGUAUUUCGGUAUGUAAACUUCGAAAGAAUGGGAAGAAUAAAUGACGGUACCAUUUAUAAGCUCCGGCUAACUACGUGCCAGCAGCCGCGGUAAUACGUCGGGAGCAAGCGUUGUUCGGAUUUACUGGUCGUAAAGGGCGCGUAGGCGGCGCGGUAAGUCAGCUGUGAAAUCUCCGAGCUUAACUCGGAACGGCCAGCUGAUACUGCAGUGCUAGAGUGCAGAAAGGGCAAUCGGAAUUCUUGGUGUAGCGGUGAAAUGCGUAGAUAUCAAGAGGAACACCUGAGGCGAAGGCGGGUUGCUAGGCUGACACUGACGCUGAGACGCGAAAGCGUGGGGAGCAAAC